GGAGAUAAGACGGAAAGACCUGCAGCUCUCCAUCUGAAGAUGGUCGCUAAAUUCGUCACUGAAUUUCGGCUGCUCAAGGUGGCCGAAAUCGCAUUUCUCCGUUAUCGGGAAGGGGUCGCUAAGUUUGUGACUGAAUUUCGGCUGCUCAAGGACACACAAAUCACUUUCCUCCAUCAGCAUAGUAUCACUGUUCUGCAUCGGAAGAGGGUGGCUCACUUGGUGAUUGAUUUUUGGCUGCUCAAGGACGCAGAAAUCACUCUUCCCCAUCAUCAUAGUAUCGCUGUUGCCCAUUUUC
rnacentral:lncRNA from 1 species